AGGUUCUGGACCGAAGCCUCUA
rnacentral:snRNA from 1 species